GACGAACGCUGGCGGCGUGCCUAAUACAUGCAAGUAGGACGCAGUUGCGAACGGGUGAGUAACGCGUAGGUAACUACCUAUUAGAGGGGGAUAACUUUUGGAAACGAUAGCUAAUACCGCAUACUAGUAGAUGGACCUGAGUUGUAUUAGCAAGUAGGUAGGGUAAUGGCCUACCUAGGCAACGAGACAUAGCCGACCUGUGAGGGAGGUAGGCCACAAUGGGACUGAGACAAGGCCCAAGACCCUACGGGAGGGAGCAGUAGGGAAUCUUCGGCAAUGGGGGGAACCCUGACCGAGCAACGCCGCGUGAGUGAAGAAGGUGUUCGGAUCGGAAAGCUAUGUUGUUGAGGAAGCGGUACUUAACCAGAAAGGGACGGCUAACUACGUGCCAGCAGCCGCGGUAAUAC
rnacentral:rRNA from 1 species